rnacentral:tRNA from 1 species
UCUUCCUUGGUCUAGUGGUCAUGAUUUCCGCUUGUCAAACGUUAUACGACGUUAACAAGCGCGGGAGACCGGGGUACGUGAGCUCUCAUCCUGAACAUACACAUCAUCCUAACUUGUGAAAAGGUUCGAUUCCCCGAGGGAGAG